rnacentral:lncRNA from 1 species
GGGAUUCAAUUCUCUUCAUGUGUCCUUCAUUCUUAUUUGCAGUUUCACGCCGAUUAACUUGAUUUCUUGCUGUUUCAAAGUGAAAAAAUUAUGGGUUUCUUUUUCGUAAUCCUAGUGAUUAAUUAAGAGCACUCCCUAUUUUCGGUGACCGAGUGUCCUCAAAUGGCGUGGUCAAAAAUUGUCUCGACGACGAUAGUUUUAAUGGCGUGACCAGAAAAGUCUCGACGACGACAGGUAUUAAGUGAAAGUAAAUUAAGCUUUUUUUUUUCCAUUAUUGUUCUGAUUGAUUAUGAUUUAUUGAAUUUAUAUAUUCAAUUUUGGGUUUAUUUUCCUUAGUUUUUUUCUUUCAAAUCACGCUCCGUUCUUAGAUGAGAGUGAAUGUGUUGUUGGAUUGGUAUUUUGGGCUUCGGACAUGAUCAUGUUGGCCAAAGAUUUAAUCGUUUUUGGCAUUGGUAGUUUGUUUCUUAUAUGGGUAUGCAUUUGUUAGGAGAUUUAUAUCUCAGUUGGUUCUUGAAAAGACGACUGGAGAUUGCUGGAGAGCAGGUUGCUAUGCAGCUAAUGUCAUUAUUCAGAAGUUCAUUGUUAUUCAUUCUUAUUCCAAGUAGAAUUUUGAAAUAUGAUAAAAACUUAUUGCGAGUAUUUUAAUUUGUCCUAGUUUCUUUCUUUAUUCAAAGUGGUCUUUAUUGUGUCAUUGUCCUUUUUUGCUUUCAAUAUGUCAAUUGGAUGUCAUCUAACUAAAUGUGAUGUCCUAGUUUGACUGUGUUUGACUGUUAUAACUCUGGUAUUCAUUGGAGACUUUGUUCUAACUUUAAACACUUCGACAAGAAUCAAACAAGUUUGAGCUAGAUUGAUGGUUCAAAUUAAUUAUCAAUACUUUAAACUCUUUACUUAUAAAUUUUGAUGUUGGGCAGUUCAUUUUUUUUUUUUAAUUUUUCUCAAACAUAAAGAAAUGUGCUUGGAAUGUGGUGAAAAAAUAGUUAUUUCAUCGUAAUAUCUCAUCAUUAUUUGCUACCUUAUUCACGUAAUGGUAAACCAAAAAUAGUUGUAGGAUAGAGGUACUACUAAGGUGGUGGUAGUAGUAGUGAUGGUUUGAUAUUUUAGGUGAACAGUAUUAGAUUUGGGUGUAUUAAUCCUUGCAAAACGAACAUGUUUGAGUCAUUUCUUAUAAGAACUGUAUAGCUCAAUUGAGUUUUAGAUUGUCCUAAAUAUGUGAGAUUAGUUCAUACAUAUGGGAGAUUAUCAUUAUUGAGUUAGAGGUAACUUUGAUUUGGUUCUUUAUUCAUUUUCAUUCAAUGAAAUAACAAGUUUCUUCGUGCUUCGUUUGAGAAUCGAGUGAAGCAAUGAAACUUUGAGGUAAGCGAAGUGAUAAAUUCUUAGUAGUAUUUCAAUUAUUUUAAAAGUAACAUUUUGUAAUAAUAUUUUGACUACUUUUAUUAAAUGAGAGAAGAAUGAAUAAUUUAAUUGGGAACGACACAAACAUUUGUUAGAUUGUGCACUUUUCCAAGAACUAUUAUCGGCUAUAGUUUUUCAACUAAUUUUAUAGAUAUAUGUGCAAAAUAUAAUUUUUUUUGUUAUAUUAUGCAGGGACAAGAAAAAUUGAAAUAUGGAAGAGCAAGUGGAAGUUGAAAUGAUGUUCAAUGU